GCCCCUGAGGAAUUUGGUAAUGUCCAUUAGUUACCUGACAUCCGGAGCCCUGGCAAAUUCACUCUCUUUCACAGAGUUUCAAGCCAGGUUUGAUGGGAGAUCCCCCCGUCCACACACUGUGCAGGACACCGGAAGUAGAGGUCUGCCAGCCUGCUUAUUCCCGUCCUCAGUGCCCAGAACUGAGCAGGUCACCAACCUACAGUGCCUACCCCUACCCUUCUUCCGGCGAGAUGUGAAAACGGAGACCCAGAGAAGGGAAACAGUUGAAUCUUGUCCUGGAGUUACUUUUGUUCCUGGAUUUGGGGAAUUCCUGGGAACACCAGAAAAUGUAGGAAAAAGACUUCCCUCCCCUCAAUCUCCACUAGCUCUGCCUCACACUCUCAAGAUUUAA
rnacentral:lncRNA from 1 species